CCUAUUGUUAGAUCUGGGUUUCAGUGAUCUACUGUUCUACCUGGAGAGGCCUGAAGUAGUAGCUCAUCGAGUUCAAAUGUAAAGAAAACAUCUUUAUUAUGGCUGCACCAAUUAACAGCUUUUGGUGGAUCCCGGGACAAUAACAACAAAUUUAUAAGCCCCGGUGACAAUAAAAAGCCAACAUACCAUCAAUAUAAAAAUCAACCAAUCAGCUUCCUGAGUCACAUAAGGGCAUUAACUCCCUAACACCAAUGAGAUUGCAGAGGAUAUCAGCAGCUAUAGAAAAUGGUUCCUUUCACCAUUAGAUAAGAAGAAAACAGUUUCAUUUCAGUUUCAAAAAGAUUAAAUAAAGUUUUAUAAAUA